CUUGCGCACAUAGCGGCCUUUUGGGGAAUGGAGAUAAUGGAGAGUACAUGCUAUCUAGAAAGUUAUUAAUAGCACAACGAGGGGUCCUGAAGCCUCUUCCCCCACUAGGCAGUCUGCCCCUUUUACCCUCUGAGACCUUCCUCUGCUGCACAGCGACUCUCUCCAUCAGCUCUCUUUCCUCAUCACUGCAGCUCAGAUUCCUCGCUGCUCGCCUCAACGCUUGGUGCCAUGUCUGACAACGAGGAGGUGGUGGAGGAGUAUGAGGAGGAGGUGGAAGAAGAGGAGACUACUGAAGCAGGGGAGCAGGCGGUAGAGGAGGAG